rnacentral:rRNA from 1 species
ACGAGCGCUGGCGGCGUGCUUAACACAUGCAAGUCGAACGCUGAAGCUCAGCUUUUGUUGGGUGGAUGAGUGGCGAACGGGUGAGUAACACGUGAGUAACCUGCCCCCUUCUUUGGGAUAACGCCCGGAAACGGGUGCUAAUACUGGAUAUUCACUGGUCUUCGCAUGGGGGUUGGUGGAAAGGGUUUUUCUGGUGGGGGAUGGGCUCGCGGCCUAUCAGCUUGUUGGUGGGGUGAUGGCCUACCAAGGCUUUGACGGGUAGCCGGCCUGAGAGGGUGACCGGUCACAUUGGGACUGAGAUACGGCCCAGACUCCUACGGGAGGCAGCAGUGGGGAAUAUUGCACAAUGGGCGCAAGCCUGAUGCAGCGACGCCGCGUGAGGGAUGGAGGCCUUCGGGUUGUGAACCUCUUUCGCUCAUGGUCAAGCCGCAACAAUGGUUGUGGUGAGGGUAGUGGGUAAAGAAGCGCCGGCUAACUACGUG